rnacentral:rRNA from 1 species
UACGUAGGGGGCUAGCGUUGUCCGGAAUCAUUGGGCGUAAAGAGCGUGUAGGCGGUCCGGUAAGUCCGCUGUGAAAGUCCAGGGCUCAACCCUGGAAUGCCGGUGGAAACUGUCGAGCUAGAGUCCGGAAGAGGCGAGUGGAAUUCCUGGUGUGGCGGUGAAAUGCGCAGAUAUCAGGAGGAACACCAAUGGCGAAGGCAGCUCGCUGGGACGGUACUGACGCUGAGACGCGAAAGCGUGGGGAGCAAACAGG